UCUCUCCCGUCGCGGACCCCGAGAUUGUCCGCUUGGCACAUGCGUACGAGAUGCUAGCGGUGCCAGGAGCAGCAACUCCAUCCGAGAUUCACCACGCGUUCGCAUGCU
rnacentral:ribozyme from 1 species